CCUACGGGAGGCAGCAGUGGGGAAUCUUGCGCAAUGGGCGAAAGCCUGACGCAGCCAUGCCGCGUGAAUGAUGAAGGUCUUAGGAUUGUAAAAUUCUUUCACCGGGGACGAUAAUGACGGUACCCGGAGAAGAAGCCCCGGCUAACUUCGUGCCAGCAGCCGCGGUAAUACGAAGGGGGCUAGCGUUGCUCGGAAUUACUGGGCGUAAAGGGAGCGUAGGCGGACAUUUAAGUCAGGGGUGAAAUCCCAGAGCUCAACUCUGGAACUGCCUUUGAUACUGGGUGUCUUGAGUGUGAUAGAGGUAUGUGGAACUCCGAGUGUAGAGGUGAAAUUCGUAGAUAUUCGGAAGAACACCAGUGGCGAAGGCGACAUACUGGAUCAUUACUGACGCUGAGGCUCGAAAGCGUGGGGAGCAAACAGGAUUAGAUACCCUGGUAGUCCACGCCGUAAACGAUGAUUGCUAGUUGUCGGGGUGUUUACGAUCUCGGUGACGCAGCUAACGCAUUAAGCAAUCCGCCUGGGGAGUACGGUCGCAAGAUUAAAACUCAAAUGAAUUGACGGCUGAGAGNGCGAGACGACGACGAGGGAGAG
rnacentral:rRNA from 1 species